rnacentral:rRNA from 1 species
UGGGGAAUAUUGGACAAUGGGCGCAAGCCUGAUCCAGCCAUACCGCGUGGGUGAAGAAGGCCUUCGGGUUGUAAAGCUCUUUCACCGAUGAAGAUAAUGACGGUAGUCGGAGAAGAAGCCCCGGCUAACUUCGUGCCAGCAGCCGCGGUAAUACGAAGGGGGCUAGCGUUGUUCGGAAUUACUGGGCGUAAAGCGCACGUAGGCGGAUAUUUAAGUCAGGGUGAAAUCCCAGAGCUCAACUCUGGAACUGCCUUUGAUACUGGGUAUCUUGAGUAUGGAAGAGGUAAGUGGAAUUCCGAGUGUAGAGGUGAAAUUCGUAGAUAUUCGGAGGAACACCAGUGGCGAAGGCGGCUUACUGGUCCAUUACUGACUCUGAGGUGCGAAAGCGUGGGGAGCAAACAGGAUUAGAUACCC